CUAGCGAGUGCGUGCAUGGCCCGUACCGGAAACCGACACAGGUGGUCAGGUAGAGAAUACUAAGGCGUUCGGGUGAACUGUGGUUAAGGAACUCGGCAAAAUGCCCCCGUAACUUCGGGAGAAGGGGGACCAUUACUGGUUGCUGACAGCGAAUUGGCUGGUGGUGGUCGCAGAGGAGAGAGGGAAGCGACUGUUUAUUAAAAACACAGGUCCGUGCGAAAACGUGGAAGUUGAGGUAUACGGACUGACGCCUGCCCGGUGCUGGAAGGUUAAGAGGACCCGUGAGUGCAUCUUUGUGGUGUGCGAGGCGGAGAAUUGAAGCCCCAGUAAACGGCGGUGGUAACUAUAACCAUCCUAAGGUAGCGAAAUUCCUUGUCGGGUAAGUUCCGACCUGCACGAAUGGCGUAACGACUUCCCUGCUGUCUCAACCACAGGCCCGGUGAAAUUGCAGUACGAGUAAAGAUGCUCGUUUCGCGCGGCAGGACGAAAAGACCCCGGGACCUUUACUAUAGCUUGGUAUUGGUGUUUGGUCAUGCUUGUGUAGGAUAGGUGGG
rnacentral:ncRNA from 1 species